AUUGAACGCUGGCGGCAGGCCUAACACAUGCAAGUCGAGCGGCGCGGCGGUCGGGCGAGUAAGGCCUAUGUGUCUGCCUGGCCGUGGGGGAUAAGGUAAGGUAGCGGGCGCUAAUACCACAUCCUAUCAGCAGAGCAUACGCCGGAUUAGCUAGUUGGUGGGGUAAAGGAUUACCAAGGCGACGACCCGUAGCUGGUCUGAGAGGAUGAUCAGUCAAACUGGAACUGAGACACGGUCCAGACUCCUACGGGAGGCAGCAGUGGGGAAUAUUGGACAAUGGGCGAAAGCCUGAUGCAGCCAUGCCGCGUGUGUGAAGAAGGCCUUCGGGUUGUAAAGCACUGUAAGUUGGGAGGCGUUACCCACAGAAUAAGCACCGGCUAACUCCGUGCCAGCAGCCGCGGUAAUAC
rnacentral:rRNA from 1 species